CCCUCUUAGCUAAUUUCAGUUUUACAAUAGAGUGUUAUCAACUAUGGUCACAAUGUUUUUAUUUGAUCCUCAGAUCUUACUCAUCUCAUGCCUAUUUUGAAUGUGUGCUACAUUCUACUCACCCCAGGCACAGUCUGCAUAACGAGGACACUACCAGCAUUUAUUUAACAACUACUUCUUUUUGAAUCCCCCAACUCUCCACCCAGGGAUUUUUUUCUACUGCAAAGAGACCAUAGGACAACAUAAUGAGAAGGUGGCUAUCUACAGCCAUCCACAGCAAGGAAAAGAGGCCUCACCAGAAACCAACCCAGAUCUUGAUCCUGGACUAUUAGCCUCUGGAGCUAUGAGAAAAUAAAUAAAUGAAUGUUGUUCAAGC